AUACUUACUUGGCAGGGGAGAUACCAUGAUCACGAAGGUGGUUCUCCCAGGGCGAGGCUUCCCCCAUUGCACGCCGGGGGGUGCUGACUCCUGCGAUUUCCCCAAAUGCGGGAAACUCGACUGCGGAAUUUCUGGUAGUGGGGGACUGCUGUGGGCUUCCCCCGG
rnacentral:snRNA from 1 species